ensembl:lncRNA
GGUCGGACUACCUGCUUCCUGUUGCACGUCUUACCCGGAUCGAGUCUUUGAUUAGCUAAAAUCACCCUUUCAAAUGCUGUCGCGUAUGUCUUCCUAUCAUAUAAUCUUUUCAGAUGUUGCAAUCAUGAAUUCCUCACAGGUUUGCAACCCCAUAUUUACCAAAUAAAACUUCCCUCCUCUCUGGUCGCCGUGCGGGAACGAGGGAUUCCUCCGUCUGUCUUUGUGAGGACAAAGAGACACACAGAGAGAACACAAAGGGAGAAAUAAUCCGACAGGCAAACCCAAUCAUGCACAGGAUUAUUGACUAGUACAACUGCAAGACAGCGAUACUCUUAAACUCCGACGCCAAAGAGGAGUCAUCAUUAGAAAAACCACAAGUGCCAAAUGCGCUCUUCUGAACACUCAUAAAUACUCCGAGCUCAUUGCAACUCUGUCUCUUGAGCUCAGCCUCCUGCUGAUUCUCUAAUACCGCCCUUGAUUCAGAUUAAUGACCUCAUUUUUACUGGCUCCAUUGUAAAUCUAAUGAAUUAUCUGAGAAGAAUACAUUGCAAAGUAUUCCCAGGAGUGGACCUUUUGCUGAGAGGACACGGCUUUCUUUUUUUUUUACAGAGUUAGCAACGUCCCCUAGGUUGGUCAAGUCCUCUAAGGACCAGGUAAUCAGAUGUCUCUUCACCCAAAAUCGAGUGUCAUAUAUAAUUGAAUGGCAGCAUGCUUCUGAUUCCAAAGGUAAAAGAAGUCAUCUGGUAUGAGGUUUAAGAAUGAGGGAAGAGGAUACGUUUAAACAUGUCAUGUGACUUUACUCUUGACUCUACUGUCAACGUCAAAAGGGAAAACUGUGUCAUUAACCGAGCCGCUGCACCAAAUACGUCUCCACAUGUCUGUGGAACCGUUAACACCACACUGAUGGAUCAGGUUUGCUGGGUAUUGAUCAGUACAGUGGACUUUCAUCCCCCCCCCAAGCUUCACAAAUCCAAUCGCUGAAACAAAGGAACCCAUUUCGUCUGUUCUUCAUUUCUGGUUUUACAAUACUUCUCUGACGUGACAAAAGGUUAAAAAUAGGCCGACGUUACAUUAUAGUUUCAUAGUAGCCGAGAAACUUUAAAGAACCAGCGUUUCUCCAGUUUAAAUGUCCACUUUGUGGAAGCUGUGAUUCAUGACAUUGUUCAGCAAAGUGGCCCUGAUGUCCUCUGAAAUAUGUCCUCGUCUAUUACCGGGUGCACUUCUUCUUUUGUGUCCCCCCCCCCCCCUCGUCCCUCGUCCCUCCCCCGUGUGCAGAGUGCUCCCUAAAUGGGUGAACUCACCUCACGUCUAUUUGUUGUGUGAAGGCUCAGACUGAUUGGUUUUCAAUUCAUGCGUGUGUGUGGGGCGGCGCCGCCAAUUUCACAUAUUUUGCAUUUUGAAUAGAAGUGUUUUCCAGUGAUUGCCAUAUAUUUCACACAUUGUGUAUCCGUGUGUGUGUGUGUGUUUGUCUAGAAAUGAGUGUGGCGUUUUGUAAGAAGUGUGUUGCAGAAUAGCAAAGACGCUACCAAGGCCAACUUCUGUUUGCACUUGUACGGCUUUUGUUUUGCCUUUAACAAAUAAAGUGCUUUCGUGCUUUUAAGCGUCGCAUUUAACUUUAGUUCCGUAAAAGCAAAAAUCAUGAUCUUUCCUUUGACCUAACCAAGUCAUUAUUUUGCCUAAAUCCCUGGGUGUUCUGUUUUUUAAUUGAACGGUAGAUAUAGCCACUACGAUUCAUCAUACAAAACAGGUGGUUCUAAUCUCAAACUGAUGGGCGAAAGAUGGAAAAGAAGGCUUCUGAAUGACAGGGGUCUCAGCAUUAAAAUUGUAUUUUAUUUUUAUCCUGAAACAGUAACAUAUACUUGUGAGUAUGUUGCAGAGGCACAUGAAGUGUAUAUUUAUGCACAGAAGUUCCUUGGGUGGAAUUCGCUGUGACACGACUUUGCAAAGUUAUCAAGUUUUAUUUAUAGCGGUGUUUGUUUGGUAUAUUGCAUUAUAAUUUUUCACAAGUGAGAAUCUCGCUUCAGAUUGUGGUAACCACAGGCAGGCGAUAUAAUAAGAUCUAAGGGAUCUGCCUUCCUUUUGGCCAAGGAUUGCUGCUGCACCUCGGGGUGCCAGAGAGAGAAUUCAUUGCCACAUGUGGUUCGGAUCGAAUAGAUUACCAACCGGGAUGAAAAAAGUAGGGCUGAUAAAGAGGGGGGAGCACAGAAUGGAGUGCAAGAUAGACUAUAAAAAGGAGCAGAAGGGGAAGAUAAAACAGAGGAAUGACGAGGACAGCAAAUGGGGGGGGGGGAAACGUGUGAAAGAGGAGUGUUUAGUGGAAGAAUUGAGAGACGGGGUUCUGAGAGAAGAGGAAGAGGAACGGGAGCCAACGGACCACCUGGCCAUCUGCAUUUCAACUUCCCCCAGCUGACCAAAUCCCUGCUGCAGGUUCUCCCUUCUUCUCUUUUCUGUUCCACUACCUUUCCCUCUCCAUCUCUUCUCCCUGUCGCUCCUGACGUUGUAACUCAUUCUUCACCCCCUGACAAUCUGUUCCUGAGGUGCAAGCUCGGCUCUUAACAGGAGCAGACACAAAGCAACUGUUUCCAGAAAGCAUUGCGUUUAUUUAUAGAAAUGCGUUUUUUCUGUGCGCUGCUUCCACUCACUGUUUUGCUAACAUUAAAUGCAUAUUUCAGUGGGGGAAGAAGUCCUUAAAUGAUCUACCUGAGUACCCAUAGCAAAACCACAGUGUACAAAUGCAGUAAAUUCUACAUUCCAAGUAAGUAAGAAAACUGGUUGUGCCAAAUUUCCCAAUUUAGACUCAUGGUUGAACCUCUUUGUUAUAAACCUCUGGAUUAGCUGGUGUGCGACCCCCAUCGACACUGCAUUCAACCUACAGGUCGUCCAAAUUAAACAAAAAGAGUAACUUGCCAUUGCCUUGUGGUUCAUGAUGGUGCCUGUAGGGGUAGAUGUUGACCCCUAAGCACUAUAUGGCAAAAAAAUGGAAAAGAAAGAGAAAAAAAUUGAGAUGAAAUCCAUUAAUUCAAUGAAAAAAAGGAAUAACUGGAUCCUGCCUGUUAAAACAAUGCAUAGCUGUUCUCCGUCUCUACAUCUGAAGCAAAAGGGAUCCUGUAGCGGUGCAUGAGACACAGCAGGCUUUCUGCUUACUCCAUCGUACACCCGUCCGAUUCUUCACUCCACGCUCAGACCAAUGAGGUGGUAUAAAGAACGAGGGAGUCCACUCAGGCCAGAAGGUACAUAAAGCGAUGCUCAUUCACUGACUCGCGUCCUUUGCUUGGAUCACAUUACGAGCAUCAUCCCUUUAAGCCAAACCCUUAUAUUGGACCAACCCUAACCGUGAGAUUUUGGUGCAUAAACAUACCUUUCACAGGAUGACAAUGAUGAGAUGCCGUCCUGUCACUAAUCACUUAAAAAAAAAAGCAACGCAGCGGUUUCAUGUUGUGACGUUGGUGUGAUCGGAUUCAGGCAGAACAGCUGUUAUCUCGGGUGACGUGAUCGGAUCGGCGAGGAGGAGAAAGCAGCUUCCCCUGUGAAUGAAGCACACAGUAAGGAAUGUGUUGCUUCAACUGACCAUUUUACCACAAACGCUGAUUACGCGUGCACAUAAAAGGUCUUGAAGGUACCUUCGGGGGACCUUUGCUGUCUUUUGGUUGCAGGAUGGUGGUUCCAUGCAGGAAAUGAUUGUUAGGUAUACUUAAGGAAACAUGUAACUACCCGCGAGAAAUACAUGAUUGUAACAUCUGUAAAGAUAAUAAGAUGAACGACAUAAGCGACAGCAUUUGAAAAGGACACUAAAGUAUCGUUGGCCCAUCUUCCCACCCAGACCCGUCUCUCUAUGUGAAACGUGUUGUCUUUUAACCACAUCUCAGGCCCUGAAGGGUGUUAUUUCUUGAAAGUGGGCAUGAUGCUUGUGGGCUGUAAUGACUGACUGACUGAAUGUUGUUCCUCCUGAAAGGACGGCCUUUUCUUUUCAUAGAAAACAGGGUUGCUCCUGUUCUUUUUUCUAAGCUGUUAGUACUGACACAUGUCUCUGGCUAGUGGGAUAACUGUUUUUUAAUGAGCUGUAAAAUUUAACACCCAUGAAAUCUAAUUGCAUAUACAUGUUUUCAUUGCAUUUUAAUUAUUCAUGAUAAUAUUAUAAUGAAAGCUGUUGAAUUCUUUAGAAGAACGAACCAAGGCGAGCCAUUGACGCGUGUGAGGCAAUGCAGAGAAAUGGGCAGGUUUUUCUGUCUUACAGGGGUCUGAGGCGCUUUAUUACAGUAUCUCUCACUGACACAGCAUCCCCCGGUGGUCAAAUCGAGCAGUGCAGGAACGGGGCCCCACCCCACCCCUCCCUCGCCCUUCUUCUGGUGAGAGAUGUCUUUAUUUACUCAGCUUGUGAAAUCAUUUAGACAGCACUGAGAUGGGCAGCUGAUAAUGGAGACAAGCUGCAGGGCAGGACGGAGCGGGAAUUGACUCGGGCAAUAUCUCGCUCCAUCUCUCUUUCUGCUUAUUGAGAGGAAACACAUCUUUUGUAAAAAAAAAAAAAGGAAAAAAAAAGCUGUUUAUUCAUCCAAAAUGACGCCAUGUGAAUCAUUCGGAAGCUCUGGAGAUAUUGUGAUGCUGCAUAUAUUCUGACCUCAGACAUAUUGGCCCCUACGCCGUUCCCGUGGACUCUAAAUCAAUUUGAAAACCAGGGGUAUUAAACAAGUUGACCUAUCAGCUAUUCGUGAGUGGGUAUACAUACAUUAGCACGUCGCUCAACAUUUAGUAACAUGGUACAUGCACGUAUUUGGUGAAGAGACCUAACGUGUGCCGUCUCACCGGAGGGAUUUGCGUGCUCAGAAUGUACGUACAGCGUGUCAUAUAUAUCACGACGUGGAGUCAGGGGAGGAAGUUCGUUGAGUUCUUCUACAAACCCCUCGCACAUUAAUAACGUUGAUCAGUCCAUAAAUUUCCAUAAACUUCCAUUGAAUAGGGUACCAUGGUAACUGAUGACUCACAGACAAGACGAACACAAAAGGUGUGCUUGAUUUUUUGUUUUUUUUUGCCUUUUGAAGAUAAACCCAAACCCACCUCAAAUCGAUAUUUAAUACAUAGUUGUCUGUGUUUAACUACACCAACCAUUCAACUAAAAACUUGAUAGACCCCGGCAUCCUUCUGCCGACUUAAGAAGAGAUUGUUCGGAAGAGUGUAAGAGUUGAUUUUGUUCCUUGUUUACAAAGAUGUGUUUGUUGACACGGACGCACACGAGCUUCUGGUCUGGUCCACCAGCGUGAGCCCUGGGAGCCUCUCAUGGGGGGGCAGAUGUGCUUGCAGCUCCCGGACUGACAUUCAAGCCGUCUUUUGCCAGAAGCAGUUUUCUGUCCCACUACUCGUUUCUGCAGUCACAAACAAUUAUUGAAUCAAUAGCUGGCGGUCGAUCGCCCCGACGUGAUUUCCUUCACUGCUGCGAGAGUCGUUGUCAUUUAGAGGAACAAUGAACUGUUUUUGUUGUCUUAUUUAAAGCUGUUUAGUGACUAUAAGGUAACGUUAUCUGGCACAAGCAAUAGAUGUUGGGGUUGCUCAGCGGUUGAGUAGUGUGGCAGCUGAAGGUGUUAGCAUCAUGCUACCCCCAAUGAGUUGCACAUCUGAUAAUAAGAUGUCACCGGUGACAUUAAUGCAUUAUAUUUUCUUAUUUUCCGAGUACCCAACGCUGCUGCUAUGCAUCACUUCGGCAUGACAUUGCAGUGGAGGCUCAUCUGGGAAGAAAAACAGCUCGUAGUUCUUAGACUCUUCUUCCUGUAACAUAGCAAACUGAGGUGAACUUAUGCAUCCAUCCCCUGGGAAAGCUUUGUGUUUUCAUUACAAAUGCAGUCAGAAGGAACCAUACCUAUGCUUUUGAGGUCAAAUGUCUGGGGCAUUUACUACAAAUAACAUGCACAUGCAUACAUAAUGUAUUGUGGACUUGUGCUCAAUUGUGCAUCUUUUGCAUCAGAUAUUUGCUCAUAAUUCAAUACACAAAAGAUAUGCAGCUGAGUGCAAUUUGCCCCUUUUCUCUGUCAGUUGGCAAUUAUCCACGUGUUAAAGUAUAAGUGUGCUUGAGGCUGACUGGUUGGUUUUGUUGGUUUACUGUGGCUGAGCCAGAUGGGCCCCCAACACCAUGACUUCAUUCCGGUUGGGCUCCGACCAUUUCUUUUCGUUAACACUGGGCUUGAGUCGACCUUUGAAUCAUUUAAUAAACUUCUCUCUAUUGAUUUUGCAGAUAUGCACAUCUGCGCUGCAGAGCACACAUACACAGAUGGGAAACAUCAAUAGCAUGAAACAUUUGAGAGUUUCAAAGUUUCAACGCAAAAAGACAAAGUGAACCUUUACUCAUGCAGCAUUGAAGCAAAAAUCCUUCUUUUUUCUCGUGUCUUUUUAAAAAUGACAAUGUUUGGAAGCUUUAGAAAUACAUUAUUGGUGGUAAAACUGUUACUGUCAUUGUCACUGCAUCCCAAAAUAUAUAUUUCUUUAGGGAUCAUAAAGACGUUAUAUUUGCAAGGGAGUUGUUUAUCAUCCUUUAUGGGUUAUUUGAGAAUGUUUUGGUUUAUUUUGGUCUUGUUUGCUCAGGUUUUACAGCAAAAGAAACAGACAAUCAAUGUGUGUUGUGUUUAGUAUGAGCACAGUAAAUGAACUAAUCUUCAAAUCAAUGGCUCUAAGUAAAUUGUGUUUUAUAUCCAUUACAUUUUUUCGAUGUGACAUAUUUUAACAUUUUCCAACCCUAAAAUAGUUUUUUAGAAAAAAAUGUUGAGCUAAAAGAAAAUUUCAAACUAUUUUUCAACCCACAAUUAGCGCCACACCCCUGUCUUUCUGCAGACUGAAGACCUUUGUGAAGGACUGCACUACUAAUAUGCAAACAAUAACACAGGAAGCUCUGAAGUACAUGUUUUACACGCACAAAGCUUAGUUAGCAGAAGGGUUUUUGUGUCUAUCAGCAAUAGUUUGUUUUCGUUUGACCAAGCAAAAUCCCUCAGCUCCCCAUAAACGUAGCGGGAAUAACAAACUACUUAAUUACUUAUCGAAUCCAAGCCCCAUUGCCUUUACAGAAAUAAACUGAUCUGAUGUGAUGCGAUCUGCUGUCCCAUUUCACUCACUGCAUUUUGAGCCCUUUUAGCCUGAUGAACUCCCUCAUGCAUUCACAUGGAGCUCGCAGGUGUUGUCGAUGAAUAUUUGCGAGGGUUCAGUGUGCAGCACAAAGGCCGGACGUUGUGUUUGGGACGAGGUCACUGGACUGGACCGGAGAUGGAGCCGCUCCCAGAAUACUUCAAGUGCGAGGAUAAUCUUGUGUGUGUACAGUAAUGAACACAUCAAUGAAUACGUCAUUAAAAUGCAUGAUCAAUAUAGCAUAUCACUGAUUCCAGAGUAAAAACAUAUGAAGUGGAUACUUUUUACUUUUAUAAACGUGUAUUCUUGUUUACUUGUUUUACGCUGUUUUUACUUAAUAGUUUUUUCUUUUUCUCGAUGUUUAAAUCGUUCUUACAAAAAGCACUUUAGUUUUGUCUUGUUAAAUUUUGCCUUUCCUUGCUUUGCAAAGCAUGUUGAUGUGAAAGUUCAACCAAAGGUAAAAAUCAGGCGGCAAAUCCCUGAUUUGACUGCGGGAUGGAAAAGCUGCCGUUCUGUUUAAAAUCGUUCACGAAAAAGUUAACAUUUACCCUGUCUAUGAACUCUUGAGCAAUUGCUUACAAUGAUGCAGUAAAUAUCUCUCCCUGUCUGCCAUUUAACUCUUUAUUUUCACUCCACUAUUUCCAGCAGCAAGUCAGCGCCGGGAAGCAGCGCAGUGGCUGGUGCUCGUAUGCAGCGUGUGUGUUGAGCCCCUAUUGAGGUAAAUCAUUAUCAUUCAAUGUCAUUUCAGGAAAAUAUCAGCAGUCUGCCUCUGAGAGGCAAAGAGAAACACGCUGUAAUGUUUCUCAUCUUUCUAAUCUCCCCAACCCCCCCUGUCCCCCUCAAACACGCAGUCGCACGCUGCUGUUUCAACGUGAAACCGCCCAGACAAACACGCUCUCGGUUUGUGGCGCUCGCACAAACUGCCAACGUGCUCCCACGAUGCAUCGUUGCAUCGCUCUCUCUCUCUCUCUGUUUGGCUCCCUGUUCACCUCAUUGUUCCUCCUCCGCUUGUAAUGAUCAUUAAGCAGCUCCCCACGCACCACACAGGCGGCAGCUGACAAGGGAAGCAUGUCCAUACUGGCUUUUAGGGGCAAUUAAAAACCGCGCCUUUGACUGUGUUGUUGUUCUGCACGCGUGUUUGUGUUUUUGUGUUGUGCGCGAGCGUCAACCUCAUGCAAUCCCCAAAGCGUGUGCGUCGUAAAAAAAAAAGUAAUGGUGUUCAUAUGAGCCCUUUUCUUUCCCGGGGCUCUCAAACACACAGAAGGACAGAGAGCAUGUUGUCUGGCUCAUUGUCGCCAUGGGAAUGAAGAUGCACGAGUCCCGCUGGUGGAGAGAGAGCGAGUGUGUAUUUGACACACGUGGAUAAUAAACUCAAGCGCUUGGCGAUGUGGGGUAUUCAUGAUGAGGAUCACUGUGGAUCGCUCAAAAGUCCCAGAUAGCUACCUGGGAUCUAUAAGAGACACACAAGCAAAGGGCCGGAGACUUGUUUCUGUCCACAGUUCCACAUGAGCUCAAAUAAGAAGAAAACCGAGGCCUGUGCUUCGUAAAUGCAUCACCUACCAAGACCUCUCCAGCAUUGGAAGCUUUUGGAGACAGGAUUGGCUCAUUGGAGAACUGAAGCUCAUCCACAAAGACAUAAUGGAUUAUGGACAUAAUGGACUCCUUUUUUCUUUUUUUACAGCCCCGUACAGACGGUUGAACAGGACUCACAAAGCCUUGUAGUCGUCGUAUACAAACACCAUCCCACCGAACUGACUCGGCUCCACAGAAACCCGCGAAAGAUCUUGAGCUGUCACCUCGGACACGUCUAGGAAGUGCAUGUUUGUGUGUCUGUGCGUGUGUGUGUGUGUGUGUUUUCUUUGUGUGUGUGCAAUCUCCCCGAGCCUUCAGAGUGUGUUGUUGACUCUUCCACAGAAAGCACACAGGCUAAAAGGUCUGGUUUUCUGCAUAAAGCAGUGUGGGGAUUCGGUAAAUCCGUAGGACAUAAGGGAGUUUUUAAUAAGCACGAGUUGAAAUAGAAGCUUCGCAGAGGUUGUUCAAUAUUUUCUCUCUGAAACCCUCAACCAGCAAAUGUAUUCUCACCUCGGGCUUGUUAACACACAUUGGUAUUUUUAAAUUUAAAUUGGAAAGCAAUGUCUCCCUUUCGGAUCUAAAGUCCUAAAGUUCCACAGCUUGCAACAGAUGCUGUUUAAUAGCAAAUAUCACUGUUUGAACUACAAUUUAAUCCAACACAUACAAAUGUCUGGUAUUUCAUGUGCUCGAUACAAGCAAAAAAACUAAAGGUUGACGUGACUCAAGCUGGUCACAUGACUACCAUCACAUAGAGGGACGUCACUUAAUGUUAAACGUGCUUUGGCCCGUCCACAGGUACUGACAGUGAUACUGAGGGUGGGACUGUUGCAAACACACGAGCUGAGAGCCACGAAUGGCCCCGAACUCGCCCCGAUGACCUGCUUCUCAGGCGAUGGAAACAACGCGCCUGGUUCCAGUGAGAUGGAUUCGCCGACAGACCUGGACUCCACGUGCUUGGGAACAGCAGGAAACAGUUUGAGGAUUUCUCCCUGUGAUCUUAGCAGCGUAAUAUGCUGAGCGCGCAGAGAGGAAAGAGGAAUCUUAAAAUCCGUCUGUGUUUAAUGAGCUGGUGAUGCUUUUAACGUGAGAUACAACGUUCUGUUUUAGUGAAUGCUGUCAAGGGUGCAAUUUUUAAAUACAACAGUUACAUUUUGUGAUGAUAAACAACUAAAAGCUUCAGCGUUUCUCAUCAGGAAACACAUUUUUCCUUAUUAUAUUUAUUUGCAUUUGUGCUUUGCUCUUAUUGCUUGUUUUUGCUCGUACAAAAAUUAUGCAAAGCUUGAAAACCAACGACGUAUGAGUAAUUACUCGGAUACAGCCUCUCAAAGGGACAGUCUGGAGCUAAUAAACUUUGUAAUAAUGGCCUAAAAGCAAUAUUUAAUAACUGUUUACUGCAAGAAUGCACACACCCUGCACCGCAUUAGAAAAUUCAUAAUUGCAUGCAUGGAAUGUAUUCAAGUUAAAACUACUUAAACAAAAGUAAAACUUCAAAACACACUGCAACUUUAGACCGAGUAACAGUUCACACUAUAUUUGAGAUGGAACUUGGCUCUAAACGAUUUGAGGACGUUUAAUGGAAACGUGUGUGCCAAUGACACCACUAAGAGUUCUUUGAACGCUUUCCUGGUUUGUUCAAUUAUUUUAUUGUAUAGGACCUCCUUUUCACCGUGGAAUUACAUGGGUCAUGUCCUGGUGGUCAUCCCUACCCUUAAAAUAAAGGAAUGGCUUACUCUGAGUACCAGAUCCAUGUGAUUCACGGCUGUAUUUGGUGAAUAGACGUUCAUAAUACGCCGUUAGCGUGAGACCAAAAAAACGCAACAUGUGAGUCGAAAUGUUAUAUUAGAAAUAAUUAAAUACGUUUUUUAUUUUGAUCUUUUACUUUCUAUUGUUUCCUUUUACAGUAUGUUUUUAACUGUAAUGAACACAUAUACAGAGACAACCUUUUAAGUAAAAUCUUAAAAUUGGCAACAUGAGAGAAAAAAACAGAGAGUUUGUCUUGAUGUUUAAAGGAGGAAUGUUUUUGGCCUCGUCCCUUUUCAGUGCUGCAGCCCCUCGUACUCUGAGCACCUUGACAGUUUAAGGCAAACGACUCCCACCGUCGGGUUCUGAGAUUAACUCUGACAGCCACACUGAGGGCAUUUCUCUCCUUGAGGAGGUUUUGCUGACAUCGUUGGUGGCUUUUGCAGAUUCGAUUUUUAAGGAAAAAAACGACAUAAAUAUAAUAAAAAAACUGUCAACACGUUUCACCAGUUAUUUCUCAUAUAUGUUAUUUUGGCAAGCCAAAGGCACAAACAAUGACAGGAUGAAUAUAUAGACCGAUAAUUCCCUUAUUAUACCCUAUAAGCCACAUUUGUAAUUAUGAAGUUAAUCACCUACAGUACGUGUUCGUAUACCAACAGUAGUAUGAAUACCAACAGCUGUUGCUAUUACUCACAACUAUUAAGUAGACUUGGGAAAAAAUGACCAAUCCACGCUGUUAGGCCCCAAUACUUCUUUAAUGUGUUUUAAUAACUGUACAUUUUCACUCGUCCUUGAGAGCAGUUUCCUCCGAUGACAGAAUUGAGGUUGUUUUUAGCGUCAGAAGUGUGAUGAGGAGCUGGACACAUCCAACCCACCAGACUUUGGGCAGAUAAACAUUGAAGAGACAAAUAGUAUGUCGUUGACCUUUAUAAGCUGAGGUCACAGUAUUAAAUCCUUUGAGCCAUUUCUCAUUUUAUGAGAAGCACACUGCAGCUUCUACAACUGGUAAAUUAUUUAUUUUAUUUAAAGUAUUUCCUAAUCAUGAGUGACACUUGAUCUUGUGCGCAUGAAGCACUUGUUCCAUAACGGAAACGAUGCCUUCACAAAAACGAGACCGGAAUGCUUGAAACUAGUCGCAGUUUGAGAUGGAAAACAACCUUCUUUUUUGCCAGUGUUGGUUUUUAAUGAAGGAUUCACAUAAAAUCAGCCAUAGUAAAUGGAGAGUGUUUUUUGAGUGCAGCCUCUUCAUUGUCUGGGACUGUUUACUGCAUCUGUCGGCCUUCUGUCGGCUUUGCUUUCCAAUCUCUGUGAUUUUUCUGUGCAUGAAAAAGAGGCUCAUCCGUCCUGUUCCUCUCUCCCACUAUUCAUUCCCACCAAACGACUGAACAACUGCUUUAAGAUGCUCCUCCGACUGCUAAUCAUCCCCUGCCGUUUUUAAAACACCUCCACCGAGCUAAAUACCAUUCGGUUCAGCGCAUCACGAUCGACUCGGCGAGAUAGUCGACUGACUUUCCACUCUUCCAUUUAUCUCUCCUUGCUUGGCACAACAGUCAAUACGGACUCAGCUGGCCCAAGCGGAACGGAUUUCAAACCAAACAGAAUCACUGAACCUAUUAGCCCAGAUCUUGUCACAGAAACACGCCCCCAACCAUCAAAGGGGAGGAGUCACAGCUGGUUCGUUGGUUCAAAGUACCAGUCGCAGCAGUGAGGCCCAUUCUGCUAUAAUGUGUCUACCUGUGUCGCUAUUCAUGUCGUAAUAUGGUUCUUUUGGUAUGUUUUAUGUUCAGUGAAGGUUACAGACUGUCAGAUGGCAUCAGCGGUUUCUCCUUUUUUCUCCGUUUUUACGGGCUCCUCCCUUAUGCGCCAUUUCCUCCUCUACAUCCUUGCCUCUGUUUCCUCCUUUCUCCAAACAGUGUUUGGAGAGUACAAAUAUUUUGGUGUCAAUCAGGGAAAACGUGGUCUACCUCUUGCUAUAAUUGUCUUUUGAGUAACAAUUCAUUAGACUUGCAUGAAGACUUCACAAGGCGUCCUUGAGGAAUCCGGGGGCGGUUUACGCUUGAAAAGUUGCUGUCGUGUGCCUGAUGUAACUUGAGUGAAGUCUUACAAGACGGAGGUGAGGCAGCCCUGCUUUUGUGACAGUCGAAACUCUGUAUGAAUAUGUAUGAAUAUAAGCAUAAUACACACAGAGGUGGAAAAUAAAGCCUUGAAAUGAAAGUACUUCAGUAACAGAAUGAGAGAUGUUAUCCCACAGAGGGCAGAUGAUGGUGGGCCACUGGGCUAAUCACUGAUUCUUCAUGAUAUGUAAAUGUCCUCUCUUGUUCCUUAGUAACCAAGGAGCAACACGUCCUUCAGUGCUCGUAUGCACUUUCUCUCUGUAUUUACUUAUUUUCCAAAUAAUAUUACUGUUUAAACUGAAUUUUGAGAUUAAUCUGGGACAAUCCACCCGAGAUGAACUGUCAGAGGUGCUCGCCAAAGCUCUCGCAAACGACUACAGACAAAGCAUCAUUUAUCGCUUCCAGGAGUGGAGUCACCAUGGAUACGGGUCUUCCACCUGUCAUGCUGUUCGCACCGUUGGAUGGAUUAAGAAGGAAACAAACCUCCCUCCCUUUUUGGAAUACAUGCUUCUCAACUUGCGGGUGAAAGAUUGUUACAAUAUUCUUCCCCCAAAUGAGGUUAUGGAGGAAAUUAAGCACGAUGACCAUAAACGAUCCAGCCGUAGGGGUCCACCUGCUCUUGUUAUUCGAUGCAUUCGUCUUCCCUGUGUGCGUACAGUGCAUUAGCCAGGGAGUAUGUGUGACUUUUUACAGCUCCUCUGGAUCCACAAAAGGCUUUCACACAACUUGUUUUAUAUGCAUAUAUAUAUGUACAUAUAUACAAAUAUUCAUGCAGAAGUACUCCCAAAGAUCUGAAAAGUUACUACUACGUGAAAAAUAAGUUGCAUAAAGAAUCCCUCCCAAAUGUCAGAAGGCUUCUAGACAUUAAAGUAGAACACCUACUGGCAUGGAAUUGAACAGCCUCAGGUAUCAUCAUUCUAUACAUCUCAUUUUUGAGUUUCUCAUCCAAUGUUGUAAGUUCCUUUUCUGUCUUUUUCAUUUUUUAAUCUCAAACGUGUCAUUUUCUUCUUCAUUUUCAGGAUAAAAAAAAAACACAAUACUUGUUUUAUGUAUUAUUGUUGAAAUAAUAUUACUACAUGCUGAUGCUGUCUAUGCAGUCAUAAAUACUUUAUGAUUAAAACAGCUCCUUAAAUUUGUAGAUUUCAGACAGAAACCUUUUAAUAUCUACAAAGAGAAAUUAAUGGUGUUUGGAUCCAAAACGGUGAGCUUAAAGGUUUUUGACAGUCACAACGUGCAGGUCAGACUACGUGUUACCUUUUAAAUUCACAUCUUUAAAAAAGAGUCCAUUGGUCUCCAGUGCAGCAGGCUCCCGUCUACCUCGCCUCAAAGCGCUCAUUGAUCAUUCCGCUGAGACCCACAGCUGCAGGAUCGACUCCCGGCGGGUGGUGAUCCUGCAGCUGCAAAGAGGAUUGUUAGCUGAUGUGUGCUCUCCUGGAGCUGCGACUGUACAGCCGCAGGGAGCCGCAAUGCACAAACUUCUUUCAAUGCUUUAUUUCACACGGAUCCAUCCCCCCUGUCAUUGUGUGCAAAGACCAAAUGCACUUUUUGUCAUUCAUUUUAUGUUUAGUGUAGGAGGAACCUGAGCUACUGACGAACAUACUAAUGAAACCAUUAACCUCAAUUAUUCAGUGUUUGAGUUGUAUAAAUACAAUAUGGGGACGGUGACAUUCAUUCAGCAGCAGAUUGGAUUCCUUCUUCCAUUUUGCUUUGUCUUCAUAUUCCUAUUCUUCUCUACCUUUGGGAUUUGCUGAAAAAAUGAACCAAUUUUACAGCAGCUCUGUGAUCAAGAUUGAUGGACAGAAGGGAGGAAAUCAUCAUUCACACGGUGAAGCCGUCAGGCAGGUUCUGAUUAUCUGGCAACAAGCAUGUGCCCUUAUACUAAGAAUUCUGCUCCCUCAAGCUUCUUCUGGCUGGUUUGGUCAAGGCAUUGUAGUUUCAAUAUACUAUAAUAGUUUUUAACUUCAUGGUGGCCCCCCUUGUGAAAUAACUAGUCAACUGGUCCUUGACUGUGAGGCAGGCCUUUUCUGGUCAACACCAGUAGCCGACCUGCUCUUCAGGCUGAUCAGCAGCCACGAUCGAAAAUGUCGUCAAGUUGUCAACAACCUUAUAGUUCUAUGGAUAUAAUUCCAACGUGCUGAACUUAUCAGAACAGAACGGAGGUUCACGCAACAGAAUUUUGCAGAAAAGCAUUGAAGGACACGUCGUGAUUUUUUCAGCUGAAGACUCGAAAGACUGACCUUGCAUUCUCUUCCCCCUGGAGAGGCCAUGUAGAUACAGACUUUCCCCACACAGAUUAUUAAAAUGUAAUUGUGAAAACCAUCCGCUUCAUGGUAAUUCUGUAAGCGUGUCCUGCCACUGUCUGCAGGCGUUCUCUCCCCAUCACACCCUCAGUCAUCAGGAUGAGCUCCGUCCUUCAACGCGGCUUGUGGAGGCUGAGGAGGAGGGCUUUUAGUAAACCAAAAUCUGCGGCGUAUUUCAGCCUUCGAGCAAAAAUUGGUAGUGUCCCAACCAAUGCUCAGACCAAACGCCCUUCUAUGAAGGUCUAACUAGUUUUAGACAAGUUCAUCACUGGUUGAGCGCAGAAACGCACACAUGCUUAAUCACGAGAGGGGUCACGAUUCAUAAUCAUUGAUUCUGUAAAGAAUCCUGGAAGAGUUUUCCAUCACACCUGCGGCCCGUUGGAGGACAGAUUCUUCAGCACCUGCCAUUGGCGGAAUCAGUGUUGUGGGGUUUCGCUGCCGCACAAUUAAUCCUGCGUUAAUUGCAAUUAUGGUUUUGCCUCUCAGUAUAAAUUAAACUUGAUCAAGUUGGAAAGUGACAUUUUUGCAUUUGGCAUUCCGAGUCUGGAGCAUCAAAUGAAGCGCUCCCUACGCACACAUUAACUGCCUCACCAAUCAUAGGUGAUUAACUGGUCUCAUGCCUCCCAAACACGGCUGUGGCUUCAGGCAACAACAUUUUCACUACAAAGGGAAGCGGCAAGUGAAAUGGAGCCGCAUUCGCUGCGCCGGGUGAAUCGCCUUCCACUCGUUUGCAUGCAGCGUGGUCAGGUUUCAUUUGGUCUAUGUUGGACAAAAAUAUGUAGAGAAAAAUAGUUGGGAGUUUUCUGUGAG